GACGAACGCUGGCGGCGUGCUUAACACAUGCAAGUCGAACGGAAAGGCCCUGCUUUUGUGGGGUGCUCGAGUGGCGAACGGGUGAGUAACACGUGAGUAACCUGCCCUUGACUUUGGGAUAACUUCAGGAAACUGGGGCUAAUACCGGCUAGGAGCUCCUGCUGCAUGGUGGGGGUUGGAAAGUCUCGGCGGUCGGGGCUGGACUCGCGGCUUAUCAGCUGUUUGGUGGGGUAGUGGCUUACCAAGGCUUUGACGGGUAGCCGGCCUGAGAGGGUGACCGGCCACAUUGGGCCUGAGAUACGGCCCAGACUCCUACGGGAGGCAGCAGUGGGGAAUAUUGCACAAUGGGCGGAAGCCUGAUGCAGCAACGCCGCGUGCGGGAUGACGGCCUUCGGGUUGUAAACCGCUUUCGCCUGUGACGAAGCGUGAGUGACGGUAAUGGGUAAAGAAGCACCGGCUAACUACGUG
rnacentral:rRNA from 1 species